AUAAAUUGUAUUAACAAUUCCCAAAGCAUCGCUCGAUCCUGUUUUUGGUCGCGAAUAAUAAUUUGAAUACCAGGGUAGACAUAGUGGCAUGGAGUUAAGAAGAGAUAUAUCAGCUCCAUGAUCCUUACAACUGAUCAUAUACCACACAUUUCGGAAACUAAUCUAAACUGCUCAGUUUGUCACAAAAGCUGUUCUGGAUGCAUUUAUAUCAGUAAAGGAUCCGAGUCAUUCAGGAAGUCGGCCAUUAAACUUACAUUUAGACACAUAAAAAAUGUCGAACAGGUCAUCCGAAUCAAGGUUUCUUUUACAACUUAAGUGGAUUGAACAAGGCUGCUCCAAAAUCAAACAUUUCGUCUGUACAACGUUUUUAACAGAAACAAAGGAACUUUUAAGAACGGGAUGGGUUCUCAGUGUGUUCAUGUUACUUGAAUACUCAUUAUUAACAACUAGUGUCGUAUUUUGCGGACGACUUGGACAGCGGGAGAUGGCUGCGGCAGCACUAACCCAGUCGAUAAUAUCGAUACUUUGCUUCAUGCCUGGGUAUGGUAUGGUCACUGUUUGUAACACUUACUUUGCUGCGGGAUUUGGAUCUACAGAUGGCCAAAAGCAAGAAACCAUUCUUCAAAAAUCGUUGAUACUUUCCGGUCUUGUGUCACUACUUUGCUGGGCAUUACUGAUCAAUACGGAGAGUAUACUAAGACUAUUACAACAAGAAGAAUCUAUUGUACUGAUGGUAGGUGUACUUGUGCGUGCCUAUUUACCAGCCGUACCCGCGGUAUUUGCAUCCUUUGUUUUGAGCCGUUUUUUACAAUGUCGAAACCACGAGAUGAUAACCAUGGUUGCUAUGGUAGUUGCAGCAGUUGUCAACAUUCUUCUCAACUAUUUGUUCGUUAUAGUGAUGAAAGGGGGAGCAAGUUGGUCUUUUGGCGCUGUAGUUAUUGCACAGUACAUUGACUUAUUCAUUUUAAGUGCAUACGUAUACAAGUAUGAAGAUUUCAAAGGAUGGACUACAGAAUCGUUGGACGAUUGGUACGAGUUUUCAGUUAUUGGCAUUAAUGGCUGCUUAAUGAUUGAGCUGGGAAUUAUAAUAUUUGAGGCUGGAUAUCUGUUUUGUGGUACUAUAGAUGAUCUGGCUAUGGAUGUUUUUGGAGCUGUAUAUAUCAUACUUUUCUAUACCUUCAUGCCUUAGCCAUUCGAAUUGGCCAAAGUUUAGGUAAAAAUGAUCCCGAUACGGCUAAAGUGUCUAUGCAAGUGGCAUUUGUAUCGUGCUGGAUAUAUGCCGUUAUUGUGUCUUGUCUACUUUUUGGA
rnacentral:misc_RNA from 1 species